rnacentral:lncRNA from 1 species
UCUGCAGUCAAUGUCCCAAGGUCCCAAGAUUAUUGUUAGAACGAAGUCUCACUCUGUCGCCCAGACAGGAGUGCGGUAGCCCGAUCUCGGCUCACUGCAAUCUCUGCCUCCCAGUUUCGAGCAAUUCUCCUGCCUCAGUCUCCCGAGUACCUGGGACUACAGGCACAUGCCACCACACUCGGCUAAUUUUUUUUUCUUUUUUUUUGUAUUUUUAGUAGAGACAGGUUCUCACAGUGUUAGCCAGGAUGGUCUUGAUCUCCUGACCUCGUGAUCUGCCCGCCUUGGCCUCCCAAAGUGCUGGGAUUACCUAAGUGUGAGCCACCGCACCCGGCCAAGACAUUUAAAAGUAUACUUAGACCCCAUCUACCAGGAAUUCAUUUUUAUUUCCUAGAAAUCCAGGGUUCAGAGAAUUGAACAUCCACCCUCAUUUAUCCUUUUAAAACUUAUAAUUCAACAUUCUCAGAAUAUUGAAAGGACUUAUAUUAUGGUUUAGGGUUUGUUUUCAAAACAAUGAAAAAAAAAAACAUUUUAUUUUAAAAGAUACUGUGUUGAGUGGCAGCUAUGUCCUGGACACUGUAUUGGCAAUCACAGAAAUAAAGGUCAAGAUAGAUAGGGCAGGAUUCCUCUAACUGGAUGAACUCACAGUCUAAUGAGGAAGACUGAUAUAAAAUGGUAUAAUUAUAAUACAAAACAAUCAUCUUUAGAGUAGAAAUAUAAAUUCAGAUUUUUAGAAGCAAAAUAUAUUUAAUAGCAAAAUUUGAAAUCCACUCAAUUUUCUAAAGGAAAAAUCAUAACUCUCAGUAUAUAUAGAAAGUUUGCUUUAAAUCAAGCAGAAUUGAAUAUCUGAUUAUCAUAGAGACGUCAAAUUGGGAUAUAUGCUUGCCUGGAUGUUGUUCACUUGUGAGAAUGACAUAGUGAAUGUAAAGGAUCAGGAGAAACGAUGGCUCACGUAACAAAUUUGUAACAAAAAACUCAUAUACUGUGACUGUUUGAUUUUUGUUAAGUACAAUUCAAUGCAUAAAACAUGAGAAAUAUGUAUUAAAAGUCCUAAUAAAAAUGUAACACACGUUUGAAGAUUUUUGAAAGGGCUUAUUAUUGACAUAAAGCAAAAAUAGUUUAUUUAGCUUGAAUAAUUAAUAUUAUGCCUCAGUAACUCAUAAUAAACAUGCAUUCAAUUAAAUGUUAAAAUAUCACUUAAAUCAAUACAUAGUAAUUCAAGACUUGGGAUCAAAAGAAAAAUUAAGAAAAACUGUUUUAAUACCCUAAAUGCCAUAAGCACUAGAACACAAGCAAUAUAAGGAAAUAACUUGAUUUUUUUAAAGGCAUUUUCUUUGGAGCUUUAGUAAAAUAAACGGACCAGUGGCCAAAUGGCUCUGUAGAGUCUUUGUUGUCUAACCUGAACAAAUCACUUAACCUCUGUAGGGACCAUUUUUCCUAAUCACAGAAAUGGGUGUAAUAAUGCCAAUCUCACCAGUCUGUUGUUGAAAAGCCAAGAGAAUUUUUAAAGGUACUUUUUUUUUUUUUUUUUUUGAGACAGAGUCUUGCUCUGUCGCCCAGGCUGGAGUACAAUGGUGCAAUCUUGGCUCACUGUAAUCUCUGCCUCCCAGGUUCAAGCGAUGCUCCAGCCUCAACCUCCUGAGUAGCUGGGAUUACAGGCACCCGCCAUUAUGCCCAGCUAAUUUUUGUAUUUUUGUAGAGAUGGGGCUUCACCAUGUUGGCCAGGCUGAUCUUGAUCUCCUGACCUCAGGUGAUCUGCCCACCUCGGCCUCCCAACGUGCUGGGAUUACAGGUGUGAGCCACCACGCCUGGCCUUAAAGGUACUUUGAAAGUAGCAAUCCAGUUGUUGAUAAUCACAAUGGCAUUUCUGUAUUAUCAUGCUUUUCAGGGUUGAAUCACUGAAGUGCCUUUAGGAAGAUGCAAUAUCAAGAUUUUUUAAAUUAUGGACUUAAUUUACAAAAUAUACAUAAACAUAAUUACAAACCUCUCUAUGAUUAAAAGAAAAAUGAUGAAUAUUGUAUUCAGAACCAAUAUGAUAAUUUCAAAUAUUUUUAAAUUGACCACCGAAGACUUGAUUACCUGACAACAAUAUAGAGAUUUAGGGCUGUGAACACAGUCUCUCCAUGGCCAUUGCUCAAAGUUCAUUAAGCACCGUUUAAGGUGAUGGGUAACAUUUGUCCAGAGAAAUUGUCAGGAUUUUUUUAGAGACAAAUAAAUCCUCAGUGGGUGUCAGUUGUGAUGUGUGCAUUUAAAACAGAUUGACAGAGCAGAAAUAGAUUUUUAUGUAAAAGACUGACAAAAUUAACAUGUUUAAGCUACUGAUCCUAUAAAAAGAGAUCCCUGGAAAACACCUCUGUAGGUGUCUAAAGAAAUACAGGGAGUGAGAACCUGGAAACAAAACAAGUUUUAUUCAAAGUAAAUAAAUGUUUUAUACAUAUAAAAGGUCUUCAAUGUGAUCAAGAAAAGUGUAAGUUCAAGUGAUGACAGAUUGCUAAGAAAUGCAGUGCGACAGCUAGCAAGGCAUCCAGAUCCUCAAAUAUUUUUUUAUGGAGGAAUACUCUAAAAUGUGCCUAUAUAAUUAUUUAAGAAUAGCUUGAAAUACCUUGAAACGCACCACUUAAUCAAAAUACAGCAUCUCCUUUCCCUGAGGAUGAUACAUCUGAACACAAAUAUGUAUCUAAAUGCUUAAUGGGUCUGCCGAAGGAAGUUAACAACAAAUAAAUGAAAACAAGUACAUAUAAAUAUCCGGUAUAUUAAAAGAUGACUGAGUGGCAUAUAAUUUCUACGGGUAAUUCCAUGCCCAUGUUGAAGUUUAAAUUAGUACACUGUUAAGGCCUGCUUUGAAGAAAGUUAUUAUGUACCUUUUAGACUGCAAACCAGUAAACUCCCCCUCCCUCGCAUUAUGUUGUUGCCAGUCUUUGUCUUUUUUUUUUUUUCCUGUGGUCCUGUUUAAAUUCUCACCUUGCUCUGCCCUUGUCAUCAAGUCGUUCAAGCACAAAGCAGGGAGCAUGGGGAGUGUUUACUCAUUUCCCAAGUCCAUUAUCUUACACAUUAAUCACUGGUCUGGAACUUUUGGACAAUGCUGAAUCUGUUACCUUUUUUUCCCCUUUCUGGCUGCUUUUACUUGAGAGUCUGACAGUUCACCAGUUUUAAGCUGCACUAAGACUUGAUGACCUUUUCAUCUGAUUAACUAUUUUUGUCCCUAAAAAAAAAAGAUAGGCAUUUAUAGUCCAGUGAAACCAUCAUGACCUUAAAUGUGGAAGAUGAAGCCUUUAUUUUUUCUUCAUGGAAAGACAGCCUAAGGGAGCUAAAUAUUUUAAAUAUUGGUUUAUAAAAGAGUGCCUUUUUUGGGAUUAAGUUCAUUCCCCCCAACCCCCACGCUGCCCUCACUAUUAUUAAGUGUCAUUUUCAAAACAAAACAUUAGUGAGAAAUUCCAGUUAACUUUGGAAAGCAAAUAUUUUUAAAUAUUAAAGUAAACAAUUUUUAACUCUAAUAUCUUCAUGGUUCUUGCAUAAUAUGAAGGACUGUUCUGGGAAUUUAAAGUUUAGCUUCAAUAAUGAUUACUAAACCAAGAGAAAUAGAUGUAAAAAAGCAGGACAGCUGGAGGCUCUUGAACUAUAGUUGUCAAAAGAUUUGUUUGUGAAACAUGCAUUUUAUUGCCUUGUAUGCAUGUUAUAAUGAGGCAUGGACAACUGCAACAUUACACUUAAUGACUGCAUUUCUUGUUUCAGCCAGUUUCCUUGUCCUCUUGCAAUUAACGUUUUCCCAGAUCACCCAAGGCUACUUUGUCAGGGAGAAAAAAAAAAUCUGAAAUUCACAUAAAUGAGCAAUGUCAAUAGUUUAGAAAGAGUUUACUUAGAGAACAAAGGGCCCUUAUGAGGCACUAGUGAGAAGAAAUGGGGAAAAAAUGAGUCCUCACAAUGUAAGCCUUUUCUUAAAGCGACUUGUUAUCAAGCAGUUCAGGAUAGUCCCUCAAAUCUGCAUUAAAAUGCAUUUCAUUCCAUUGACUCAUUUGCAUUAAUUUCUCCCAUUAUAUCUGAAAAUGGCUGAAUGUCUACCCAACACAAUGCCACAGCCUAUCACAGGCUACCACGGCGGCCCCAGGUGCCAAUUUACUCCUCUUAGUUCUUUUCAUUCUGUUUGCUGAUUCUGACAACUGGAGUUCUCCUCUCAGUCCAAGGGACUUUUCAAUUGGAUUUGCUCGUGGUGACAAAAUUGUUGCUUUGCUGAGAGGAGGGGGUUCUUUGAUUGAGCGUCUAUCAUGCUGCCAUGGGAAAGCGAGAGGCGAAUGAUUCUCAGUGGCUUCUGAUUUCCAGUAUUUGUUCAGCAUUAGGCCCACUUAUCUCCAGAAGAAAAAGCAACAUGUAGAAAGAAAGUGACAGGCAGAAACACACUCACUUGCUCGUUCAUUCUCACUGCGCUCUGUAUUCAAACAAGGGGGACCUAUUACACUGAAAGCUCCAGAUCAGCCUCACUCAAUUAUCACAGUUAAUCCUUAUAGCUCUAUAAAGUAAAUAUUUCAUUACAAUUUCAAAUAAACAGUCACCCAAUCUAAUGAAGCAAGAACUCAAAGUGGCAAUGUCAUAGAACUCGUUACCGUCAUCAAAGGAAAGGACACAGCCUUGUCUACUAAUAAUGAAAAAAUAGAUACUGGCAUAUUUAUGAACUCAAGGGUGUUGUAGUGGUGAGGAUUUCUUUUUCAGUGCCAUUGGCCAAUUUAUCUUUCCAAAUACAAUUCAGUUAUCAAAAUUCUAUGUGUCUUUUUUCUCUCUCUCUUUAUUUCUCUUGGUUUUUCACCCCAAUCUCUUCAUGGGGAUCAUCAUCUUCACUACCCAUCAUCCACACACUUAGCACAUUCCACUAUAACUUUUCUUUUUCAUAAACAUCAGAGAAUUUUGAUAUGGCAUUUUGAAUUCAGGAAAUUUACAGAAUAUAAAGUGAUCAUUUUCAUAAUCCAUUGUCUCUAUCACCAAUGUUAUCUUAAAUCCUUCAUCUUGUAUGUCCUUAUAUCCUCUAUCUACUACUCUUUUACUCCGGGGCAAGAACAUCUAAAAAUAACUCUCAUUUCACCAAAUUUUAAUAAUUUGAAAAAAAAAAGCUUGAAUUGAAUAAAGAUAAGUAGAUUAAGUCCUUAAUCAAAUGUUGAAUUACCUCUAUGCUAUUCUAACUCUCAUUUUAAUCCUAAUCUUUAGUCUCUCAGGAAAUCGUUUUUCUUAAAUUAUUACUUUAUCCUUCUUAUUAAAUAUCCCGGUAGUAGUCAUUAUAUUUUCACACUUUGUAAUUCACUCUAUAGGGCAGAGGGUACAAUGUGUAUAAUAGCACCAUUUUGCUUGUACUUAUAAGCGCUGACUCAAAAGGGAGUCCAUGUUAUGCAAUAAGACAAAAUUUCCUAUAGGUAGAUUGUAACUAUAAACUUCUUCUCUUUUCCUCUCAAUUUUACAAUACUAUAUUCUCCUGUCCUAAAAUCAUCGUCAAGUAGGAAGCGAGAUGAAUUGUUUUAGUGAGGAAUAUUUGCAUUUUUCCCUUUCUUAUGGGAUUCUUAAAUACUUACUAGCCUUUAAAAAUAUCACCUGAAACACAGACUUCUCAAACAUCAAUGUGCGUACACAUCAUCUGGGGUUGGGCAGGCAGGGAAGCUUGUUAAAUGCAGGUUUUGAUCCAGUAGGUCUGGAAUGGGGCCUGGAUGCUAACAUUUUUAAGUCACUGGUGAUGCUGAUUCUGCCGGUCCUGGAGCCAUACUUUGAUAAGCAAGGACUUAAACUAUUGAUGGUGUUUAUAAUUUGUAUAAUAAAAUCAGGAGUAGGGGAUCCUUAUAUUACUAUCAAGAUAAAGCCAUAUGUGAUAUUGUCAACACUAUUUUAUUAAUUUCAUUAAUAAAUAUAUCUAAAACAUGGGUGAUUUAAUAGAUAAUAUUUAUAUUAAUAAACUAUCAAAAAUGUGGAUGAUUUAACUAGGAGUGUUACUAGCAAUACUGAUAAUAAUAUUGAUAAUUGAGUGCCUGCUAUGUAUACUUAAUUAUUAACUAAUUUUUUUCCUCACUACAACCUCAAAGUCUGUAUUGUUAUGUUAAUUGUAUUAAUUAUACAGACCAGAAAACUAAGACUCGGUGAGGUAAAAUAACUGGUCCAAGGUAGGGGCUGGAACUUGAGUCAAGUAUUGUAUACAAAUGCACUAUCAGUUCAGUAUCACUUAAAUCGACUUACUCCCCCAUGCCAAGCCCAUAUCGCUGGAUCACAGUCUAUGACAUUCAUUCACCCAAUAUGUUUUAUUGAAGGCCUACAGUGUCUUAGUCCCUCUUCUGGGGACUAGGACAUUUAGGUGUGAAAAGACAAGCAAAGUUCCUGCCAUGUUGGAUUUACUCUACAACUGAACAAAUGAGUGAGCAAGAAAAUGUCACAUAUGAGUAAGUGAUAUGAAGAAAAUGAUGAAUAUGAUGUAAUAAAAAAUUAUUUAGGAAUGUACAUCUAGGUCCGGCGUGGUGGCUCACUUUGGGAGGCCGAGGCGAGCAGCACUUUGGGAGGCCAAGGCGAGCAGAACACUUGAGGUCAGGAGUUUGAGACCAGCCUGACCAACAUGGAGAAACCCCGUCUCUAUUAAAAACACAAAAUUUACCCGGGCAUGGUGGGGCAUGCCUGUAAUCCCAGCCACUUGGGAAGCUGAGGCAAGAGAAUUGCUUGAACCCAGGAGGCGGAGAUUGCAGUGAGCUGAGAUUGCGCUGUUGCACUCCAGCCUUGGGCAACAAGAGUGAAACUUUGUCUCAAAAAAAAAAAAAAAAAAAAAAAAGAAUGUACAUCUAAGUGGUAGAUACACUACCUUCAAAAUUUACCUUCAAAUUUAAAAUUUGGUACUAUUAAUAUUGGACCAAUUUAAUAAUGUAGUUUUUUCUCAGUCAUUCCAAGUCAUGUAAAAAUGCAAAUAAACAUAAGUGACGUAUCACUGGCAUAUAAAACGGCUUGCACCACAGAUAUGGGAAGACAAGUUUAAAUGACACCAUAUAUUGGAAUAAUCCCCCAUGUAUGUUGCUUUGACUGGUAUCUUAACACUCUCUGAGAUCAGUGUCAUAAUCUUCAUCCUCAACAUUCACAUGUAUAUAUCACCUUAUUUAGUUGCUAGUUUUGUUUGAAGCAUUUUAACAUAUAUUAACUCACUGAUUCCUUAUGACUGCUUUAUUAAGUAAGUAUUAUAUGUUUAUAUUCAUUUUGCAGAUUAUAAAACUGAGGCAUGGAGCCAUGAAGUAAUAAAUUCAGGUUUAUAUCAUUGGUCACGUAUCAAAGUCACUUUUGAAAUUCAGGCAGUUGGGUUCCAAAGUCUGUGCUGUUGAACAGUUUGCUACACUGCCUCUCAUUUUUGCUUAUAAGAUAUUACAGGUGUUGUUAUAGAUUAUUUCCAAGAUCUCUUUCUGAUCACAAAUGCUCAAACCCCAUGAUAAUUACUUAAAAUAUAAAAGCUAAGAGAUCAGACUGUGUUUCAGCCUGUUUGGUUGGAAUAGUUUAUGUGUUUAAUAUCUUAUCAAAGCUCUUCCCUGAUUUUUUUUUUUGAGAUGGUAUCUUGCUGUAUUGCCCAGGCUAAACUCAAAUUCCUGGUCUCAAGUGAUCCUCUCACCUCAGCCUCCUAAGUAGCUAAGACUACAGGUGCACAUUACUGCACCUGGCUUUCUAAUCUUAAUGUGAGACUCUGCAUUCCUCCAUUUAUAUUCCUUUUUACAGAAGAUUUCAUUUGCAAUUAGUAAACCUUUUAAUCGAUCAUUAAAAUUAAAGUAGCAAAAAUAUCAUUUAUAAAGGCACAUGCUCAGCAGAAAACACUGGUCAAAAUAAUUAACACAUGUUUGCAGAUUUAAUGCAACUGUUGGACCUGUUAUACAAACUCACCUUUUAAUAACAUCCAGGGGCAAAAUGCCCACCUUUAUGCCAUGUUGCAAAACAUUUUAUUCAUUUAUCUGUAUUUUUAACGAACAUUUGUUGAAUAUCAACUUGUGCACAACAAUCUUGGGUACCAGGAUAUAAAUAUAAAUGGCUGUAGAGCAAAUAUCAGGGUUUAUGACACUAAAAUAUGGGUGAUAUAAGAAAGAAUAUCAUUAUCAUUAUAAAUAAUAACAAUAAUUAUUUGCCUUUAUGUGCACUUCAUUUUUAACUAAUAUUAUUCUCACCACAACAUUUAAGGUCUCUAGCUCUAACUUAUGCUAUAUUAAUUAUAGGGAUUGGAAAACUUUCAUGCAAUCAUACUCAAAGAAAUACAGUACAGUUAACCGGGUGUGACGGCAUGUUCCUAUAGUCCCAGCUACUUGGGAAGCUGAGACACGAGGAUUACUUCAGGAAUUCAAGGCUGCAAUGAGCUAUGAUAGUGCUUGUGAACAGCCACUACAUUCCAGCCUAGGCAAUAAAGUGAGAGCCCAUAUUAAAAAAUUUAAAUUAGGAUAAAAAAAUUGUAAAAGAAUUAUAAUACAUUUAAUUAUAUAAAACUAUAAAUGUUAUAAAUGAGAUAAAGUAUUCAAUAAAGGCACAAAGAAAAGAAAACAUAAACAGCCCACAAAAUUUCUAAAUUAAAAAUAAGUGGAAGCAGUGAUGAAGUCUCAGAAUGCUGUUUGUCUUGGGAUGUAGUUCACUAGGGUAUAAGUCUCGUAAGUUUUCACUCCCCAUAUCUAAUAAUUGCUUGGCCUACUGCUGUGCUCAAAGUACAUGCUCAAUAAAUAUAUGCACAAUGCAAAAGCUCUUAUUUUACUUCUUUACUUUUACAAUCUGAAGGUAUGCCAAUGUGGUAAAUAUCUGAUGACAUAUCCAUUAGGAGAACUCUUCUGCAGAUUAAUUUCUUAGGCAUCUUGACAACUGUUUACAUCUUGAAAUAUACGAUUGGUCUUUGGACUUUGGACUUUAAAACAAUGUAAUUUAUUGUCUUUUUACAUUUUAACCAUGCUUCCCUUUUUUCAAAGCCUCCUCUCCACUCUUUCCUAAAAGUAGAUAUUACUCAAGAUUUUAUCUUUAGCUCUUCCUUGUCUCUCAAAAUCCUUAUACCCAGAAAGUUCCAUUCAUUCCAAUUUCCAAUCUUCAAGUGAGGUAAGCAGGGGUCCCCACUGAUACCAAUACAGUCUACUAACCCUGGAUACCAGCCCCUGAUUAUUCUACCGUUAUCUCAAGUGCAACAUUUCCAUGAAUUUGUUAUCUUUUUCCUCAUUCUGUAUUCCCUUCCUGUUGCACCAUCCAUCAAGUCAUACAAACCAGGCAUUUGGAAGACAUUAACUUAUGAUUUCACCUGUUCCAUCUAUCCUUGCCUACCCACAAGCUUCUAAUCUGUGACUAAAUUCCAUGGGUUCUACCCCUUGAGGCACUGUCACGUCCAUCUGCUUUUCCCCAUUUUUGUGGUCACUGUUUCAGUAAAGGCUCUUUUUAUUUUCCACAGGGACUGUUAUAAUAAUCUUCUAACUAGCCUUCUUGCCUCCAUUUGUAGUACACUUUCCAAUUUGUCCCACAAUGGGAUGCUAGAGUCUUACUUAUACUAUGCAAAUUUUGUUAUGUAAUGUACUGUCUUAAAAAUCUUCCAUAUUUCCUCAUUCUUUUCAAGAUAAAAAUCUAAACACAAGAAUAAAUGAGAGCCAUUAUUAUCUGGUUCCUGCCCAUUUCUCCAGCCAUCUUUAAACAGUAAUAAUGAUGGUUAUCAUAGGAUGUGCCAAGCACUGUUGAAAUGUCUUCAUACACUAUUUUAUUUACUCUUUCUAGCAAUCCUAGGAAGUGAGAUUUAAGACCCCCAGUUUUAUAAGUAAUGUUUCCAUAACAACUAACAUCUACAGUCAUGGAAUAAGAAAAUGACCAAGCCAGGAUGUGAAACAGAGUCGGUCUAAAUCUAAUGCUGUUGCUCAAAAGGAUUAUUCUUCUUCUUCUUCAUUUUUUUUUUUUUUUUUUUUGAGACUGAGUCUCGCUCUGUCGCCCAGGCUGGAGUGCAGUGGCGCGAUCUCUGCUCACUGCAAGCUCCGCCUCCCGGGUUCACACCAUUCUCCUGCCUCAGCCUCCUGAGUAGCUGGGACAACAGGCGCCCGCCACCACGUCCAGCUAAUUUUUUGUAUUUUUAGUAGAGACGGGGUUUCACUGUGUUAGCCAGGAUGGUCUCGGUCUCCUGACCUCGUGAUCCGUCCGCCUCGGCCUCCCAAAGUGCUGGGAUUACAGGCGUGAGCCACCACGCCUGGCCUCAAAAAGAUUAUUUACUAUUUCCCCUAAAUUUCCUACUCACCUCUCCUUCUCAUUCUCCAUCUGUACCCUCUUCUCUUCAGGUUGUCACCUGUAGCCUUUAAGUACCUUAGAAUCUAUAAUCACUUGUGGAGAUGUUUAAAAUUCCAAUGGCCGGGCUUCAUUCAGCUCUUGAGAUUCUUAAGGUGAAGCCUGUGCAUCAGAAUUUUUUUAAAGCAACCCAGUUUUUUCUAAGGUGUAGCCAGGUUUGAGACCUACUGCCUAGCAAAACUAAAUUAUAUAUAGUUGUACCAAACAUAAUGUAACCUCCAUUAGCCCUGAUCCCAGUGAUUGUAACUAUUUCUCCCCAUAUAAUUGUCUGUAGGGAAUGUUUGGGCUUCCCACAGCUUCAUGGCUCCCUUCAAUUUACAAUUGACAUGACUGGCAGUCAGUAGACUGCCAACAAUAACUUGUAAAAUAAAUAAUUGAAUAAGACUUGUUGAUUGCUCUUAUAAGUACUUUGUAGGAAUUCUUAAUGUAAGCACUGAAAAUUAAUAUCUUGAAGUUCCUUAAAUUUUGCAGGGCAAAGGGAGGAAUGAAAGCACUGAAAAAAACAAUUUCAAUACAUGAAAUUAUUUACACAUAAAAUGUGUCAGUUUCCUCCUGAGAAAAGGCUUAAAAAAAAAAAGCUCUCACUUAAUUAAAGGCCAAAAAAGUUUUUUUCCCCCAAAGUUUUAAACUCAUUAGCAUCUUGCAGAUAUAUGUGAAAAACUAUAGUCUAGAUAAAGAUAACAAAGACAACAGAGAGGUCUUGUUUUCCUAGUUAACACCCUCCUCUCCUCAGAAAAAGGUGACUUUAAAAGCUACAUCUUUAUGCAACUGCCAUUUUUUCCCCAGUGACAGAGUACAUUUUCCUAAUAAUUAAUUACUUAGUCAUUGGCAAAUUAAAACAUCAUAUUACUUUGCAAUUAAUAUAUAUUUAACACUGUUUAUCAAUAAAUUAAGUUAAUAUUAAUUAUUAUCAAUAUAAUGAUUUAAGUUUCUACUAUUAUUUAAGUUAUUCAUAUAAUUUUUGAGAAAACACUUUAGAGGUUUCUUCCAUGAGGUUUUAUUAAAACUGUUAUAAGAAUCUAAAAAUCUUGUGUUUCUGCUAUUAUGUGAAAAAUCUAAGUUAUAGUAUUUCAAGGGGCGAUUUGGUGGGGGAAUAAAAUAUCUAAGAAUAUAAAGAGAAUCUGAAUGACCACAUAAUAAAAAUUAAUCAUGGUGAAUUGCUUUGGGGAGAAUCAUACACUUGACCCAUAUUGAAGACUGAAAUAUUAAUCCAUUUCUAUGACAGAGAUCAAGCUUCACAGUCGCUUUUUAUCCUCCUCAUCAUAGAAGCAACAGUUGUAAACCAUAAUGUUAUAGUUCAAACAAUGCCCCCCCAAGACUCCAAAUUUAUUAUAGCAUUCAUCUCCAAGACAAAAGACCUGGUGUAGGCAAAAAGCUCUUUAUAGCAAAAAGCAUGGUUGUUAUUUAUGGCUCAGAUGCAAAGAAUGAGUUUGGGGAAUUUAUCAGAGAUGAAGGUAUGAAAUGUUUUAGCUUGUUCUUCCCUCUCUAAUCCAUAAACCAUUUUCUCAGCCACCCAAGUGAAUUCUAAUGGAACAGAAAUGAUGAAAUAAUAUUUUCCUAGCCCUUUAACACUUUUCCUUCUGUAUAAGUUUCAGUGGGAUGAGAAGAAUAUGUUUUAUAAUAUAAUUAAAAAUAUUAUAAGUAGCAAUGAAGCAAUAUUUUAAAAUAAGAUAUAAUUUAGCUCCAUAGGCAAAGUUUAGCAUUUUUAAAAAGUUUAAUUUUUACGUAUUGAAUUCUGCAAUUUCCUAUUAUUAGUAGUAUUAAGAGUACUAUGGGCUAUCAUAUAAUUAGAAUUUCAGAAUGUUAAGUAUAUUCUCAUUAAAAUCAUUUAAAGAAUAUAAGCCCCAUUAUUGUCUCUCCAGUCCCAGCGAUUCAAUCACAUUACUUGACCUCUUUCUUUUAAUAUUCUUCACCAUUAAUUCUACCUUCAUCGUCACUCUCCUUGAAUAAGACAUGCCAUAAUCAAAACAAAGAUGACUCAUAGAUUACCUACUUUCCAUCCUCACUUUUUGGAACAAGUAUAAGGCCACAAAAAGAUGUCGAUUUCUCUAAUGACUAGGCCAGGGAGAAAGCUUACUGCAGGUAGGAAGGUUUAGGAUGUGCCAAGAUGUGAUGAAAGUUCAUGCUUUAUUCUUACAGAUUGCCUUUCUUUUCUUUCCUCUCUGGCCUAUGUCAGAAGGGUGUAUUGCUUUCUUAUGAUGAAAACAUAUUCAACAAAUGUGACUGGAAAAAAGUAUGAAAUGUAUUAAUAUUUGCUCUCAAAUAAAUAAGAUGUUUUUAAAAGUGUUGCAGUUACAGUUCUACAGCCCUGAGCACACUGUGAGCUUCAUGGAUGACAUAUUUUUUCUUCUCUAAUUCAAAAGACAGGUAAUUGUAGAACAAAAUAAGGCAGCUCAAAUAAAUACAGAAUAAUCUUUAAGCUGGAAAACUUUUCUGGCAUUGUUUGAUAGAUGUUAUACUAAAUCUAUUGUUUGCCAAAUUCCAUUUAAAUUGCUUAAACAGCUCUAGGAAAAUGUGGACUCUGUCUGUACAAUUUUUAACAUCAUAAUUUGCAGAAUUAAAAACAAUCCACCACUGAGUUAUUUGACAUCACGCAUUUUGAUUGCACAUUUUCUGAGUCUUGGAGCUUUUUUUCUCUUAGUUGUGAUACUAUUUCCUUUGCUACAAUUUUCAUCUGUAUUACACUACUUUAUCUUGACAUGGAAAUAAAAGUUAAUUAGUUUCUAUGACAACCUGUGCAUUAAACAUAGCAGUUCUCUCAGAUUUGUAAAUACAUGCCAACUUAGUAUUCAGAAUGCAACUUGUAUAAGCAUUCAGUACAAAUAGUGUGAGUUUGUUUGCAGUUAAGAUAGAAUAGCAACUUGAGCCAGAUGACAUGAUUCAUUUGAGUAUACAGCAUCUGUGAAAGAUGUCCUAAAUUUGUCAUCUAUGUACCACAUACUCUUCAUAUUUAAAGCUACAAAUGCCUUUAUAAUUUUUUUUUCUUAACCACAUUAAAGAUUCCAUAUAAAAACUCUACACUAAAAAUCUUCUAGGUUUAUUCUAACAAAGUGCCAAAAAUAGACCCUUCCAUUUAGCCUAUGAAGUGUUGCACUCUCUCUAAAAUAGUAGUUUUCAAACUUUUGUGUGCAAUAGAAACACCUGUGGAACUUCAUUAAAAAUAAGAAUUUCCAGGUUCUGCUCCUAGAGUGAGAAAUUAAGUAUAUCCAGGAUGAGACCAAUAAAUCUACAUUGUUAUCAAGCACCUUGGUUGAGUAUCAUGUGCACUUUGUGAGGGUCACUUUUCUGAAAAAUAGUAGAUUGUAUAUCAGACAGUUUUUAACCAAAUGUAGUAAAAGAUACUUUUAAAUCAUCAAGUUAUCAGCAUACCAAGAUUUUAAAACCAUUGUGAAAAAGUACUCCUUAUUCUGUACUGAGAGUAUAAAAAUCACAGUUCUCACAGCAUUCGUUAUUCUAAUUUCAACUUUUUAGAACAAUAAAUGAUAAUCUCAUAAAGAAAUCCUCCAGAAGACCAAAUAUAUCAGUUAUUGGUUGAAAUUAGUAAUAUGUGACAUGAUCUUAUGCAUAAAAACCUUUCACAAAAAGCAGAUGAUUUACAUGAAUAAAAAAAGAGGCUAAAUUUUACUAUCCACUAUUUUCUAUGGACAAUAUUCUUUUGCCCUCAUGGCAAAGGCAAGCUCUAAUACAUUAUGCUUUGGGAUUCUCAUCAGAAACCUAUAAACAAUGUAUAACUUACAAAUGUCCUUCAGUGCAUUAGAAUACUUUUAGUACAGCUUUAAAAUUUUAAAUCAAUUCUGCCAUUCACUCCAUAUUAUUUAUCUUCAAUUUCUCCAUAUUUUAAAUGUCACUGUGUCAUAUUAAGUAAUAAAAAGUUUAAAAGAUUAUAACCUGAACUUGGCAGAUAUGCACUUUCAUUACAAGGCCUGAAAUCCUUGCCUUCGUACGUUUUCUCUACCAGAGUCUUACUUCUUAUCUUGUUUUCAUUUUUGAAUGCAAUGAAAUCUUCACACUCACCGAACAGUCUAAAGUAUCAACAAUGUUAUUUUAAACCAAUUCUAAUAGUAAGUUAACGGUAUUUAAAAUAUUUGGCUCUUAAUCAGACUAUUUUGUCACCUCUUUUAAAAAUUAUCCUAUUAUACAAUAUCAGCUGAAAUUAUCCAUCAUUCUGCUAGUCUUAAAUCAUCCUUUAAUUCUAUCAGUUAUAUUAUUCACAUGCCCCGUAAUCCAGUAACAUUUCAUUUUCUUCAAUCUGAAGCUCAAGAAGGAAAGAACGCAUUUAAAGAUUAAUUUUUAUGUAUGCUCUUGUAACAAAUUAAAACUAAGUGACAUAAUAGGCUUUAUUAUAAGAAAAUUAUGUGUACCAAAAUGUGCUUGGGUAGAAAACGUAAUUUAUUUUCUCAGAACGUCCCCCUAAAGUAGGUGUUGUUUUCAUUAAGUUUUUUUGCCUUUUAAAGGCCAUAAGAAACUGAAUUAACUAAAUCUAGUAAAUUCCAUGUAAGCAUUAAGUAACUCAGAACUCAAAGACUUAUGGCAACAAAACUAUGUACAGAAUAGCCAGGUGCCUCUUUCCCUCCAGUGCAAUACUGAUCUUUCCUUGACUACAUGGUUUUUGCUGUGACACCACUCUCAUUAGAUUGGAAUUUGUGUUAACUUCCCUGUACUAGGACUUACUAAUAGGAUUGCUAGCAAUUAUUAUACUGAAAUGAAAUCAGCACAAACUAUUAGAUCUGUUUAAACAAGUUAAAAAUAAACCUUGAUUAAAUGUUCUUUUAUAAGAAGCUGCUCAUUAGGGCUACAUGGCCUUCAGAAAAAUUGGUGUUUCAUUAACAUCAAAGAAUGUACUCAGUUUAAACUCCCUAGCCUAAAAAGUUACAUAGAAAAUAAAGUUUUAAAAAUAUUUUAGAUAAUGAAAUUUUAGGAAAGAUCUUCCUUAUAGCUCUUGGUUUAGUCAAUAGAAAGAAAUAUACUAUUAAGAAUGAGGAGUAUUAAUAAUGGAAUUAUGAAGAAGAACACCACCAGCAAAUGCAAAAAGAAGCAAAAGGAUAAAUAAAUAAAUAAAUAAAUAAAUAAAUAAAUAAAUAAAUCUUUGCCAGAAUGACCAAAUGACAGAUUUCUUCUAAGCUGAGAUACAAGUCGGCCACGAAAUUGUUGAAUUAAAAAGUCACUUAGUAUUUAAAUGCAAAUCAGUAUGUCAAUUUAAGUAUCCCUGCAUCCAUUUUUGCAACUAAUCAGUAACUUUUGAACCAAAGUAGAACUUACAGAACUCUAGAAAGGGCAAGUAUCCCAUUCUAGAAAGUAGAAACAACAUUUUUCUUGUUACAAAGAAUCAAUGAACUGUUAUGACCUGAUUUGGUGGAAAUUAUUCUGUUGUGAUAGAUAACCUAACAUAAUUAAGAUAUAGUGUUGGUAAAUGUUAAACAUUUUUAUGGGCUACAAACUCAUAGAAAGGAUUUGAGUAAAAUUCUUAUUAUUCAUCUUCUUAUAUCCAUAUCAUUACACACACACACACAUACACACACACUCUUUAUCUCACUAAGAAAAGGUAAAUAUUACUGUAUAAAGGUAAAUGUUAGUUACAUAAAGGUGGGUUACCAUUUAUGGUUGAAGAUGAGUAAAGGAUGAAAAAAAAAAGCCACUAUAAUUAAAAGUCCAAGAGAAUCAUCAAACAUUGAAAUUCACAAUAACGUGUUAUCUAAAGUUACUGGCAAGUUGAUCUAUUUAAAGAUUACAAUUUACUAUCCUUAAAAGGGUUUUAAAAUAAAAUAAUUCAUUUUCUGAACUGUACAUGUAUUAUUCUAAACAAACCAAGCAGUAAUUACAACUGUAAAUUAAUCUCUUCAUAUAGACUGAUAUCCUCUACAGUAUACUUGCCCCUUGCCUACACAGUAAUAUGAAUAUGUUCUGAUGUUUAAAAGGAAUAAACCUUCUAGUUUGAGUAAUUAACAUUCCUUAAUUAAACAUACUAAGGAAUAGACAAUGGGUUCUUUAUGAAUAUGUGAGCAUGCCUAAAAGCAACAAAAUCACACUUUUGUUAAAGCAUUUGUGUGUAUUUUGCACAAUUUUUAAAAGUUUAACCUCUGUAGAUCAAUGUGCUUCCUUAAAAGACUUUAAUAAAUUAAAGUGCAGAGAGCUUUUUUUCACCAGGCAGAAAAAGCUGAUGAGACAGGUUUAGUUUAAUCUCAGGCAAUAGAAGUCAUUAACCAUUCUCUCAGGGAUUAAAAUAUAGCUUGCCCUUUUCUUCUCUCACUUAUCAUUAGCAUCACUUUAAUCUCCUAGCGUUUCACACUGCUAUUUUAAUCAUUACUUACUGCCUUUUGACAAGUGCAGAACAUGCUUUUUCUCAUUGAGGCAAUAUCCUGGUUUUAGCUGACAAAUGUAGGACAUAAUGUAAAAAUAUCAAAGUGACAUCUCUUAAACACACCUUCAUCAUAAAAACUCUAAAGUUACAAUAUUCCUUUGUCUAGUAUUUCCAUGAAAAUUAUCAUUUGAAAGGUUUAUAUCUUAAAUAAAGAAAAAAGUUUCUUCCAAAUACAACAAAAACUAGUUUAGAGAAAUAGUAUGCUGAAUAAAUGAGAUCUAAAAAUAUGCACAUACAUGUUAUUCUUACUCUCUAAAAUGUAUACUCAUGAACUGCCAAGUGUUUACAAAAGCAAAAUGUUGUUUCGAUAUAACUAUAAUAACAAAAUAUGCUAUAUUGAAAUGCCCACCCAAUUACCAUUUAAUGCUUUAUAAUGAUACUACAUAGUACAUAUAUCCUAGGUUGAGCAAAGUGCUGCAAUGAUUAUCCCUAAUUCUAUUAUUUUAAAAUAUGUACCACACCUCUGCUGAUUGAUAGAUACUAUGUAAUUCUUGCGGAAAAUUUAGGUAGAAAUAACAAUAGUUACAACCAUAUUCAUAUGUAACAUCUGAAAACCUAUUAAGAGUGUUACUACUGAACUUUCCGCUACAUUUUCAAAAUUGCUAGUUUAGAUAAAAGAAAAACCAUAUGAUGUUUGUUAAUGUUCUUUUAUCUAAUGACAUUUAGUUUAAUUUACAGAAUCUCUUUAAUCUAAUCUGCCUAAACCUGAAGUGGAUAACAAAUUUGGCAUAAGUCUUUUGAGAUCUGUGAAUGUAAGUUUUAUAUUGUCUUUAGAUAUAAAUAUUACAAGUCUGAGAAUAUAUUCUAGCAUUAAUACUGUGUUCUAUUUUAACUCAAAACUAAACCAAUGAAAUGUUUGGUAAUUGUAAAACCUGACUUUUUAAACCAAAGCACCAAUUUUUGGUAACGAUCACUAACACUUGGCCCCAAGACUUUUAAUCUAGUCCAUCUGUAAUGAUCUCAUAGUACUUUCAACCAUUAUUUAACUGUUAGAAGAAAAAAUAUGUCGCACUAUAUGUUUCGACAAUAAAAUCCCUUCUUAAGCUUCACAAAGCAGAACAAUUCAUUAUUUGAUCUCUUUCCAGGUUCAAAGUCUGUCUUAUUACAGUACUUCAAAGAAAUAUGUAAUCAAAGACAAACAGCUGUGAAAACAAUCUUUUAUUACUUUAUUAUCAUUGAGAAUAUAUCUUUGGAGUAAACCAGUGGAAAUAGCGUACAAAUAAUCUUCAUAAAGGUUGUUGUUUUGCAUUUGUUCACAAACUAUGCAUGUUUAUCUUUAAGGCUUUAAUUUUACUUUCUAUAAAUAGAAUAAUGGCACAGGCCAGUCACUCUAUUGCCUGUUUAAAAAAAAAAAAAAAGGAACAAUAGCAACAACACCACAAACAAGUUAGCUGCUCCAAUGUCAAAGAAAUGUUUUUAAUAAACAAAUUUUCAAAAUGAUAUUCAGUGAUGUGACUCCCUGGGUUAACAUUGCCCUGAAGUGAAAUUAUUUUUUUCUGGUGUUCAUAUUAAUCAGUUAGAUUUGCAGAAUUAGUCAACUACAAAUUGGUAUACACAACUAGAAUGCAUACACCUAAAGUUCCACUGAGUAUUCUGAAAACAGAUGCAAAAUCAAGCAAUUAGCUUCUAAGGUAGAAGCUACAUUGCCAAAAUUAUCUUCAUAUUUUACACAUCACACAAUAAUCUGGUCAUGUCUAUAUUUCUCAGUAUGGAGGGUUUCUGUUAUCAACAUGCAAAUAGACUGGACAACAUAACAUAGUGUUCUUUAAAUGGGAAUGACUCUCUUCAUCUGCAGCCUUGUGAGACACUGUAGGUUUCAAGGUAGAAGUGAUGAAGUCCUGCCAUCCCACUACAGUAGAAAACAUGUGGAGGCAGAAGGAAGAAACACCUCCUGAGUGCAUAUUAUAUGGUAGAAACCGUAUAAUUUAGUUAUGAUACCAACCCUUUGAGGAAGUCAUUAUUUAUAAUCCAUGCUUUACAGAUGUGGAAACGGAUUUUAAAAGCUUAGUAACUUUUGACUCAUUCUUGGGUUAAUCAGACUCCAAAGUCAGUGUGCUCAUUGUAUUAGAUCAGAAUGCUGUCCAUUCUAGAACACACUUUCUAGGUACAUGUCCUCAAAAGGCACUAUAAUCUCUAACAAAUCCAACUCUUCUUCAGAAAACCAUAAGGCAUUAUGGUAGACAGGGACAAAAUAGGUCACUGUCAUUUUCUAUGAAACUAAAUUGAUGAUUCAUCAACACAGGCCAUUGUUAGAAAGAUCAUUGUUCCUAGGUCUUUACAAACAUAUCGCUAGGCCAAAAGUGAUGUGAAAUCGGUGCCAUCUUGCUUACCAAAAGAUAUCACUGAAAGGUGCUACAAGAAUGCUCCCCUAGCAGGGCAUAGUGGUUCAUGCCUAUAAUCCCAGCACUUUGAGAGAUGGAGGAAGGAGGAUCUCUUGAGGCCAGAAGUUCGAGACCAGCCUGGGCAACAGAGCAAGACUCCAUCUCAACACAAGCUUUUUUUUUUUUUUUUUUUUUUUUUUUUUUUAAAUUAGCUAGGUGCUCGCCUGUAAUCCUACCUACUCAGGAGGCUGAGGCAGGAGGAUUAUUUAAGCCCAGGAGCUUGAGGCUAUAGUGAGCCAUAAAUGCAUGCCACUGAACUCCAGCCUGGGCAACAGGGCAAGUCUCUUCAAGAAAAACAAUUGCCACCUCAAAUUGACAAACUGAAGAAGACAGACAGAUAACAGUUAUUCUGGUGCCAUGGCCAUAUAGACAAACCAGGUAAUUAAGGCUGUGAUAUAAAUUUUUAAAAGAUAAUGGUAUGUUCAUUUCACUUUCUACUGUCUUAGUACAAUCGCAAAAUGAUUUAAUAUCUUUGUAUUGGUUUUAAAGUUUUGUCUCUAAAAAUAAACAUAGAUACAUAUAUAAACAAAUGCAUAUUCACACAAAGAUAUAUACAUUAGCUAUGAUAUGUUCUUAUGUAUUUAUAUGUAACAUUGUCUUAGUUGUAAAAUGUGAAGUCUAAACUGAAUAUAGUUGUCACAGACAUUCCUUUAUAUUAUUAAGAUUAUUUGAAGGUCACUGACAGAGGAAGGAAAAAAUAACACAAUGAUAGGCAGUAAACAGAACUGAAUUUAAAUUUUUUGUUAUUGCCAGUAAACAUAACUGAAAAAUCUAACAUCAUAUUAGUAUGAACAUUAGUAUUUUCAAUUUUAAAUAAUACAUUAAAAAAUUCCUAGAGACUCUUUGCCAGCCAAGUGUAGGGAUAAUGGAGAAAAUGGAAUUGCUUAUUUGAAGUUAUGAUCCUUCACUUCAUAGCACAACUUGGUUUAGUUUUAUUGGUUACUAAAUAAGCAGUAUAAGAAUUAAAAAUGAAUUUAAGGCAUGACUCAAUUUCCAUAAAAGUUAAUUUCUUGACUUUUCAGUUUGAUUGUUAUCAAAAGUUAUUCAGUAAAAGGGCGCAAAACAAAGCCAGUCACUCCAGCUUUGGAAUAAUUAAGCAGUAAUUUGACCAAACAUUUCCUUCCUUCCUGUGUAUUUCUCAAAGUCACUAUUACACUAUAAAUUUUAGCAGAACCAUUUUUAAUGGGCACAAUCUAUGAGGGAAAUAGUCCAUAGUAAAAUGUUUCACAACCAAGGUUGGCAACACCAUUAUGAAGUCACUUUUUACUGCUAUUUUUAGGAUGUAUUCAAGAUAAACUUUUGAUUUUCAGGUUUUUAGAAAGGUCAGAUUAUAGAAGUGAGAGUUACCAUGGCUAAUUUUGACAUGUAACACCUAUGUAUAAUUGAGUUUAUUAAUUUUGGAAAUACCUAAAGAAAAGUUAAAUAGUAUGGUAUUAUAACUUUAGAUGUUAUUUUAAUGCAAUAUUUUCUUAAUAUAUUGAUUAAUAAAGAAUUAGAUCAGUUAAUGCUAAUUCAUUGUUUCCAUUUUGGGUGAUGCUAUAAUAAGCAAUAAAAAAGGAGAAAUAACAGUCUUAAUUCCUAAGAGUCCCUGGAUCAUUUGCUUUCAUUGAAAAGGUAUCAUUCAUAAAGUCAUGUGAAAUAAUCUUAUACAGCUGCUUUUUCACUUUUUGAGGGUACCUUCUUACAUAUCAUUUCAUUUCAUACUGAAUAAAACAUAUAUUUAAAUUUUACUUACCCAGAUAGAAAAACUAGCAUCUUUUCUACACCCCAAAUAAACCCUGCUGUUGCUUUUACUUUGUCACUCACUGGUAAUUUUUUUCUUUGUCUUCUUUAUCUUUUACCUUCAGCAAGUGACUUCUCAUCUGACUUGAUCUCUACAACUUGUUCUUCCUUCAUCACUCCCCACCCAGACCCUGUCCCAGAAGUUUCAGAAGCCUCUUGACCUCCAAUGCAAACAUCUGAUAAGCAUCCUCAAAGCACUCUAGGCCUAUUCAUAGUUUUCUGUCUUAUCCCAAAUUAUGCUAUCUAUUCUUUCAGCUUCCUGUAAUUCCUGUUAUCAAAUAUAUUUCACUGUUUUGCCCCCAUGGUUUACAACAAUCACCCUCUUGUUGUUUUCAGAUGAGUUCCUUAAAAUGGUAAAGGGGAGCUCAGGAAACAUUUCCACCUUCUUCUUCUUGUCCGUACGGUAUAGCCUUAAAGAGACAGGAAACAUUUCCACCUUCUUCUUCUUGUCCGUACGGUAUAGCCUUAAAGAGACAGGAACUUCAGAGUCAGACAGUCCUGGCUCUUAGCGUGUCUCCAACAAACUGUUUGGUAGCUUGAACAGUAAGUCUCAGUUUCCUCAUGAGUUAAAUGGGAAUAAUGACAUCUAUAUCAUAGGGUUAUUAUAAGCAUUAAGUAGACAAAAUUUUCAAAAAUUUUAUGGUACAUCGUUGAUGCUAAUCAAACUUAGUAUCACUUCCCCUCUUCUAGAAACUCAUGUAUAAAUAAACAAGAAUUGUUCUGAACUGCAUUAUCCUAGCUUGCUUUUAACAAUCUAUGUGAUUUUAUAUAUAAUUAUAUUGGCAGUGACUGCAUCUAUAUUAUGUCCAUCAUUUUAAAACACAAAAAAACUAAUCCAAACGCCAAACUUGUAGAUUGGAGCUAUAUUUUUUCCUAAAUUUUUGUUUUGUUUUGUCUAGUUUGGAUUUCUACUGGACAACAAAUAGAAGACUUGCUAACCUUUGUCAGACGUUUAAUUUUAAGUAUUUAUGUGUAAUAUUCCCACUAUUCUCAACAUUCAUAUUGAGUAUAUAUGAAUUAUUAAAUCAAUAAAUUAUAAGGCCAGGUGUGGUGGCUCACACCUAUAAUCCCAGCACUUUGGGAGGCCAAUGAAGGUGGAUUGCUUGAACCCAAAAGUUUGAGACCAGCCUGGGUAAAAUGGUAAAACCUCAUCUCUACAAAAAAUACACAAAUUAGCUGGUAGUAAGGGGUUGUGCCUAGAGUCCCAGCUACUUGGGAGGCUGAGGUAGGAGGUUGCAGUGAGCCGAGAUUGCACCACUGCACUCCAGCUUAGGCGACAGAGUGAGACCCUGUCUACAAUAAAUAAAUAAAUAAAUAAAUAAAUAAAUAAAUAAAUAAAUAAAUAAAACUAUAAAACUUCAGAAUUGAAGUGGACCUUAUAAAUAAGCUAGUUAUUUCUCUCAAUUUACAAAAGACAAUGCAUUGCUCCAAGAGAUUAGACAACUCAGUCGGUGAUAUUCAGAAUCAGUAGUAGAAGCCAGAUUUCUGACAAUUAACUCACUAAUUUCUUGAUACUUUGAUUUUUACAUAAGUCAAAUGUAAUUAAUAUUUUGAGAUAUACAUUUUACUGAUCUUUGUCUUUAACAUUAGAGUAAAUGUUAGAGGAAUAAACUCCCUGAUUUCUGUUUUCAAACUUCCCUUCAGUGACAAAUGAGAGCACUCAAUAGUUUUAAAAUUAACUUUCUGUGGAUUAUAGCUUUAUAAUGUUGAACAAAUGUCCCCAAUUUUUGGAGAAAUUUAAGUUGAAAAAUCUAGUAAAAAAAUCUUAAUUUUCAAAAGGCAUAACUAUUGUUUUCUUUAUAAUAGUUUAUAAAAAAAAUUCUUAUAAUGAAAGUAAAGAAAUAUAAACUGCAACUUUCCUCUGCUAACAAUAUGUAGAAAUCAUAUGUUUUAAGCAUAGCUCUUGAAACACAUAGUAAGCUCCUUUCAGAAUUUCAUAUAUUUAUCAUUUCUUUAAGAAUAACAUUUCCAAAAAAUUAAACUUGGAAACAAUAAAUUUGUUCUGGUAUAGUUUAUAGAAUUGUUACCCUAGGAGAAACACUGGUCUAACAUGGCAUUUGUUUAUCAAAUGAUCACUAAAGAAAGGCAGAUACCAGAAAGUUGGAGCUUUAUGUGAUAUUUUCAUUGUAACCAUUCAUAUACACAGAUUUAGAAAAGAAAGUUGCUCCCCUUUUUCAGCAAGAUUUGAAUGGCAUUUUGCAAGACUUAACUUUGAUACCUUUUCUUCUGUCAUACCUAAGUCAAACUUUCUUACAGUGUGGAUAUAGUGAAAAGAUGAGAAUUUAACAAAAACAAAGGGCUGAAUAUAUAUAUAUACAUAUAUACACAUAUAUACAUAUAUACACAUAUAUACACAUAUAUACGUAUAUACGUAUAUAUAUACACAUAUAUACGUAUAUACGUAUAUAUGUGUAUAUAUAUACGUAUAUACGUAUAUAUACACAUAUAUACGUAUAUACGUAUAUAUGUGUAUAUAUACGUAUAUACGUAUAUAUACACAUAUAUAUAUUUAUAUACAUAUAUAUAUAACAUGCAAAGGUAACAGAAAACGUUUUAAGAGUUUGAUUUUGGAUUUUAGAACAAAACUUAACUUCAUUCACAUCCAGAUAUCUGAGAAAGAACAGCUAUACCCUUUUAACAUCACCAUUUAGAAAAUAGAAUGCAGAAAGUGGCAACGCAAAAUAUACUUUGAGUAAGACACAUUAAUUUCUCUGGACCUCCAACUUUUUGCUUGUAAAAAGUACUUACUUUACUGAGUCAUUUAAUAAAAUGAGUGACUUAAUGCUUGCAGAGCGCUUUGCAUACAACCUAAACCAUAUUGGAAGCUCAAGUGGUAAAACAAUAACCACACCAAACAAAAAUAGUUCCAUUUCAUGGAGUGAUGGAGAUACUUGCUACCUCUCCACCUCUCCUUUCCCCUCUAUUCCCAGAUCUCUUCUUUGACAUCUUCAAAAUUCAACAAAAAAGUUUCCCUGUCUUUUUCCUUCCCAUCCCUGGCCACCUCUACUCAACCGCAUCCACCUAUUUUAUGUUUCUACUUGUGCAAAUCUCAAGUUUUGGACUCACCACAGAGAAUUAUGCAGACUUAUUUCUCUUUCCUACUAUAUUGUGAGCUGAGAACAAAAACUCUUUAUUAAAUCUCUGGAAACCUCUUCUCUAUAUUAGUGCCUGGCAUAUUGUGGGUGCUUCAAAAACAUCCUAUGAAGGAAGGAAUGAAUGAAUGAAUGAAUGAAUGAAAAUAAUAAGGAUCAAAUGGGAUAUUAUAUAUAAAAAGGCUGUGUAAACCAUAAAACAUUACUGGGGGAUAAGGGUCAGGUAAAGAUCAAUAGAGAUUUAAAAAGAACUGUGACCAGAAUAGGAAUUACAUCAGCAAGGGAAAGAACGGGAGAGGCUUCCAGAUAAAAAAGCAUACACAAAGACUGAAAAGUUAGAAAGAGCUUGGCAAGUUGAGGGAACUGAGGAAGGUUCAGUGAGGCAUUUUAGAGUUUUUUCAUUGUGCUAUAUAAAUUUAUAUGAUAUUAACAUUUUUAUGUGAUCAAUCAAAUAAUAACAUUAUUUUUACAUUGACACUAUCAUUUAAAUUUCAGAGGAUUCUGGAGCACUUUAUGUAUAUUUAGAUUAAAUAUAUUAUUUUGUUUAUCCCUUAUAAAACAUAUCAAAUAAAAUAUGCAGGGCAUUACAAAUAACACGGUAUGAAACAGAGGCUACCACAUAUUUUUGAAAAUUAGCUACAAGUUGAUAGAAUUAUCAGUGUUGAAAAUCUACUCUUGAACCUGGGAGACGGAGGUUGCAGUGAGCCAAGACUACGCCACUGCAUUGUAGUCUGGGCGACAGAGAGAGACUUCAUCUCAAAAAAAAAAAAAAAUUCUCUUAAUGAAAAGAAUGUUCCUCUCUCCCCUCUCUUCCUUCACUUAACUUUUACUCUUCCUUUGGUAAAAUAAAAAAUGUGCUAUAAAAGUGAAAUCACUUUCUUUCCUGCCUUUUUAAUGUUUUGUUUAACUUUCUUGUUACACUCCCUGAAUAGUGAAAUACAUUUUCAAAUUAUUGCUAAGAAUAGGCCGGUCUCAGUGGCUCAUGUCUGCAAUCCCAGCAUUUUGGGAGGCCAAGGCAAGAGAACUACCUGAACGUAGGAAUUCAAGACCAGCAUGGGCAACAUAGCGAGACCUUAUCUCUACAAAAAAUAAAAAUAAAUUAGCUGGGUGUGGUGGCACGUGCCUGUAGUCCAGUUACUUGGGAGGCUAAGGUGGGAGGAUCACUUGAGCCCAGGAGGUUGAGGCUGCAGUGAGCUAUGAUAGUGACACUGCACUCCAGCCUGGGUGACAGAGCGAGAUUUUGUUAUGGUAAGUUUGAAACUUUCACUGUGCCUUCCCUUUGGUUCAUUAGGUUAUAAUAAAGGCCACAAGCUCAAAUGCCUCAAGAACCAGGCAGGGAACAAACAAAUCCUGUGGGAACCACAGUGAACCUGCACACAGGUCCACAGAAAGGAAGCAACUGUAACUCACCUCUAGAGAACUGUUGCCAUGCCAACACUAGGUCCAGAUCUUUUUUAUUUUUAUUUAUUUAUUUAUUUAU